CUGGUCUGCGCGGGGGUCCCGCGCGGCCGGCUCUCCGGGCCGGCCGGCGCCGGUCGCCUCCGCGUCGCCGGUCGCCUCCGCGUCACCGGUC
rnacentral:tRNA from 1 species